AUGGACCAGACGACAUCGGGUUCGGCGAGCACGGGUGGGACGACGGCAUCUUCUUCCCUGGCGGUGGUGCCAGACCUCUGCUUCGGUGACUCGAACUCCCAGGAGCUGCAAGAGAGCAACGCCGGCCAAUUGUGGUGGUCUGAAGGCCUCCGGGCGCCAAACCACCACACAGUCCCGACGCCGACCAGCCAUCUCCGGUGGACAGAUGGACAAUGGUCAAUCCAAGCAAUUCUGAUCAAGUGGAGUAACACAAUGGGAGGACCCAUAGCCCUGUUACAGGUAGCAAUUCACAAUUUGGUUGGUCCCUGUUGUUGUUCUUCCUCCAAACAAACCCAUGUUGAUGUUCUUCCUCCAAACAGGAGAACCCCUGUCGUUGUUCUUACUCGAUUUGCUUGGUCCGCCAGUCACAAUUUGGAGGAAGCGAGAGCAGGAGAACCAGUGAGGAAGAGAGGCGUGACGAGGCGACCUGGCUGCUCGCCGACUAGGUCAAUUGGCCGGAUCCGGAGCUCCGGCGUUGGGAGGCUGAGGUGCUGGAGUCGCCGGCGCAGGAGUCGCACAGCAGGCGCGACGGGCAGGUGUCUGCAGGCGCUGGAGGCUGUGCUGCUACAGCAGGCGCGACGGGCAGGAGUCGCCGGCGGCUGGAGGCGCUGUAGCAACAGCGGGCGUGACGGGAUGUUUUUUAAUGGUGAUGCCAUGGAUGUUGGUUCCCGUGGCCUCAAGGAGUAUGGCACCCAAACCGCUGAAUUCAUUGACUAG
rnacentral:rRNA from 1 species